rnacentral:rRNA from 1 species
AGCAGUCGCCGCGGUAAGACAGAGGAUGCAAGCGUUAUCCGGAAUGAUUGGGCGUAAAGCGUCUGUAGGUGGCUUUUCAAGUCCGCCGUCAAAUCCCAGGGCUCAACCCUGGACAGGCGGUGGAAACUACCAAGCUGGAGUACGGUAGGGGCAGAGGGAAUUUCCAGUGGAGCGGUGAAAUGCGUUGAGAUCGAAAAGAACACCAACAGCGAAAGCACUCUGCUGGGACGACACUGACACUAAGAGACGAAAGCUAGGGGAGCAAAUGGGAUUAGAUACCCCGGUAGUCCCUGUCUCUUAUAC